rnacentral:tRNA from 1 species
GGGAAGGUAGCUUAGUGGUAGAGUACUUGCCUUGCAUGCAUGAGGCCCUGGGUUUGAUUCCUCAGCACCA